rnacentral:lncRNA from 1 species
ACACUUUUUGACCAAAGCUCUAUGAUUUCAUCACACUACUCACAUGCACUCUUCAGUUUUUGGUAUUUCACUCAAAUCAACACAUCAAUGCAAGUCAACAAUAAUUUUGCAAGUAAUCUAAGAAUUCAUUCGGUUCACUUUGUGCACACACAUUAGAGGACUUUUAGGGUUAUAACGUGGCUUGGCUAGGNNNNNNNNNNNNNNAGUAGAAAAACUUGGAGUUAGAUCCCCUUAUGGUCAAAAAUUUCAUAAACCAAACCCCUUUUUCCUUUGAACUAUAGUGGACUAGAGAACUUUUUCAAUCAUCAAACAAGUUUUGCAAUUCUUUGGAAUUCAAGGUUAUCACUUCUUUUCUAUAUUUUUUUUUUCACAUACAUCUCUUUUUUUCAUUUUUUUUUUUUCUUUGCCUUGCAAUUUUUUGAAAUUUUCUCAAUUUUUCAAAUCAAAACUUUUUGUAAGUUCUCUAGUACCCUCACCCCAAACUUUAUUUGUUGC